GACAUAUAUAAAUGACCGCUCAAUGCAAGGACCUUGCCCUACUUCAGAGUCACCUCUAAAUUUAACGUCGUGAAUAAAAAUGUUAAAGAGCACUGGGCCCAGGACCAAGCCUUGUGGUACCGCACUCGUUACUUCUGCCCAGUUUGAGAAAGAACCGUUGAUAAGCACUCUUUGAAAAACCAUUAAGUAGUCUGCCAAGACCCUCAGCAAUUUUCAAGUAGUCCAUGCGGGGAAAAGUUUGGAAACCAAUGUUUUGCCUUUGUUUUGCCAGAUCUCUGGUAGCAAUUUCAAAUAAAUAAAUAAAUAAAUGACACUCCC